rnacentral:rRNA from 1 species
UACAGAGGUCUCAAGCGUUGUUCGGAUUCAUUGGGCGUAAAGGGUGUGUAGGUGGCGCGUAAGUCGGGUGUGAAAUUUCGGAGCUUAACUCCGAAACUGCAUUCGAUACUGGCGUGCUUGAGGACUGGAGAGGAGACUGGAAUUCAUGGUGUAGCAGUGAAAUGCGUAGAGAUCAUGAGGAAGACCAGUGGCGAAGGCGGGUCUCUGGACAGUUCCUGACACUGAGACACGAAGGCUAGGGGAGCAAACGGG